GCCUGGCACGCAUCUGCACGGUGGGCUUUUCUCUGCCCUCUUCUGAUGACGCCUGCCUCCGUCCGUCACAAAAGGGACUUCGAGAUGACGAAGAAGAAUGGAUGAUGGUUCUUUGUUCCAUUAGGGAAAGUACUAAGGGAAGCUCCUACCCCAACACUCCAAGUCGAAGGCUUUUUAGCUAUUUGCCUCCCCCUCCAAGACCGGGAAACAAAAGUGAAGAGGGAAGGUCCUUCCACACUGAAAAUCCUAGUCCUCUGCAAGAAGCCCAUCCUCGGUGGGGGAGAGGUGGCACUGUUCAACAAUGCCCCAGAGACUGCAUGGACAGAGUCCCAUGCAUGGGAAAGGGGACAUUGCGAUCAGAAUGUUCACUCUUGGGCAGGGGUCCUUCCCCAAGCAGACACGUGAAUAUAAACAAGUAGCAGCAAAAGCGUGGUAGUUUGGUGGGCGAGAAUAGUAUUUUAACCUUGAGGGAAGCUCAGGGUCAGACAUUUUUCAGAAAAGCCAGGAAGAGCUAUUUGUUGGCUUUCUUUGGGUUGAUACUCCAUCCUAUGCUACCUAUGAGAGUCAAGGGCGUCCUGGUAUAGCUGCCACUUACUGAGCUCUUCCUCGUCUCUGCCAGAGACCUUUUAGAAAUAUUUUAAAUGACUCCAUAGGGAUAUAGUCUGCAAAAUCUAGUCUCUGGAAACAAAUUUAUCGAGUUUCUACAACAUGCUGCAAAAAGAAAAAGAAAAAGCAAUAGAGGGAGAAGCCAAUAGAUUAAAAAAAAAAAGGCCUAACCAUCUACAAUAUAUGGAACUCAUUUGGAUUCUGAUCAAAAGAACAAACCACUAAAAAAGGAAACUUUUAUGAGACAAUCUGGGAAAAUGUGACAUUAACAGGAUGUUUGAAGGUACUACUAAAUUAUUAGUUUACUUUAAGUGUCACGAAGAAAUUAUAUACACACUUUCUUCUCUCUUUUUUUAAGGCCUUAUUUUUCAGGAACAGUGCCAAAAUAUUUACCAGUGGAAUAACAUUAUGUCUGGGAUUGAUUCAAAAUAAAUUGAGAUGGGGGAAAUGGA